rnacentral:rRNA from 1 species
UGGCCGGUACAAUGCGAAGCGAAGCAGCGAUGUGAAGCAAAUCGCACCAAAGCCGGUCCCAGUUCGGAUACGAGGCUGAAACUCGCCUCUUUGAAGUCGGAAUCGCUAGUAAUCGCAGAUCAGCAUGUUGCGGUGAAUACGUUUCCUGGUCUUGUACACACCGCCCGUCAAACCAUGAGAGUCGCCAACACCCGAAGUCCGCUUUGCGGCCUAAGGUGGGGGAGAUGAUUGGGGUUAAGUCGUAACAAGGUAAC